rnacentral:rRNA from 1 species
GACCGUGCGAAGGUAGCGCAAUCACUUGUCCUUUAAAUGGAGACCUGUAUGAAUGGCAUAACGAGGGCUUUACUGUCUCCUUUUUCCAGUCAAUGAAAUUGAACUCCCCGUGCAGAAGCGGAGAUCUAUACAUAAGACGAGAAGACCCUAUGGAGCUUUAGACUAAGUGGGCAGACUACGUAAAGCACCCUUGAAGAAAAGACUAAACUGUAUGAACACUGUCCCAAUGUCUUUGGUUGGGGCGACCCUGGGGAACAAAAAUCCCCCAUGAAGACAGGGAGAACACCAAUUAUCCUCCUGCAACUAAGAACUACAAUUCUAAUUAACAGAACUAUCUGACUUUAUAAGAUCCGGCGCACGCCGAUUAACGGACCGAGUUACCCUAGGGAUAACAGCGCAAUCCUCUUUCAGAGUUCCUAUCGACAAGAGGGUUUACGACCUCGAUGUUGGAUCAGGACAUCCUAAUGGUGCAGCCGCUAUUAA